GGACGGGAUAUGGUAGAUUAUAAACUAUAUACAUGUAUGCUAAUUUCAAAAUUCAAGAGUAGACUUUCAAAAUGGCCUAGUAUUCUAAUUUCCAUCGAUAUGGCGUUUUCAUCUAGAAAUAGACUAAGAUGCAUGUUUUUUUUUAAAUUAGUUGUUAGUGGCUUUGAACUAGCUGUAAGUAACUGCUAGUACUCACAGAUCUGUACAUAGUGUCAUUUUGUCGAUAGGAUAUACAAGUACCCGGCCACGUUCACAUGGUAUUAUUUCUGUUUGUAUCUAUCUGAUGAGUUGAACCUUUUUUACUUGAUUUGUUUUGUUCAUUCUAAUGUUGUACUGUUACACCACUGUCCCAGUUUAGUGGGAGGAUUGGGAUGCCGGUUACAUGUUUAACCCCGCCACAUUCUAUAUGAAUGUGCCUGCCCAAAGUCAGGCCUGUUAUUCAGUGGUUGUCGUUUGUUGGUGUGUUAUAUAUUUGUUUUUGUUCAUUUUUUUAUGUAUAAAUUAGGCCGUUAUUUUUCUCGUUUGAAUUGUUUUACUUUCGUAAUUUUGCUCCUGUUAUAGCAGACUUGGCUUUGCUCAUUGUUGAAGGCCGUACGAUGACCUAUAUACUCACACGGAAAACCAUUUGUGCAUGUGAUUCUUUUACGAAUAUAGAUCCUUUUACUUAAAGUGUAUUUUUUCUCAAUUAUUUUUUCUUUCCCUUCCUUGUUCAUUUCUUAGUUUUUUUUAGGCUGGAAAUGUGAAGAAAGGAAAAAUAAUUUUUUUGUGAAUGUUGUAUUUUAAUUGAUUUUGAUACGGAAAGAUAAUUAGGCCAUGUGCAAAAGGGUCAUAUUUACAGUAUUCUGAAUAGCUCUCGACUAGUUUGACAAUAAGGGUGUGGAUGUGAAUUGGCUAAAUUCGUAAGAUGGAUUAGUUCAAUCUUUCUGAAUUUUUGAUAUUUUUUUGUACUAAUACUGUACCUAACACACACAACAUAUUUGACAAGAAGACUUGUAUUUUUUUAAUGAGACAAAACUUUACAAAUAACUAAUAAUAGAGGAAUUUAAUUGGUCUAUGGCCAGAGAUCUAUCUAAAUUAUAAUAGGGAACUAUGUA
rnacentral:lncRNA from 1 species